AGUGGCGGACGGGUGAGUAACACGUGAGAAUUUACCUUUAGGAGGGGGAUAACAAUCGGAAACGAAUGCUAAUACCCCAUAUGCUUUUGAGUGAAAUGGAUUUAUUCGCCUAAAGAGAAGCUCGCGGCUGAUUAGCUUGUUGGUGAGGUAAAAGCUUACCAAGGCGACGACCAGUAUCUGGUUUGAGAGGACGAUCAGACACACUGGAACUGAGACACGGUCCAGACUCCUACGGGAGGCAGCAGUGGGGAAUUUUCCGCAAUGGGCGAAAGCCUGACGGAGCAAUACCGCGUGAGGGAAGACUGCCUAUGGGUUGUAAACCUCUUUUUUCAGGGAGGAAAGAAAUGACGUGUACCUGAAGAAUAAGCAUCGGCUAACUCCGUGCCAGCAGCCGCGGUAAGACGGAGGAUGCAAGUGUUAUCCGGAAUCACUGGGCGUAAAGCGUCUGUAGGUGGUUUAAUAAGUCAACUGUUAAAUCUUGAGGCUCAACUUCAAAAUCGCAGUCGAAACUAUUAGACUCGAGUAUAGUAGAGGUAAAGGGAAUUUCCAGUGGAGCGGUGAAAUGCGUAGAUAUUGGAAAGAACACCGAUGGCGAAGGCACUUUACUGGGCUAUUACUAACACUCAGAGACGAAAGCUAGGGUAGCAAAUGGGAUUAGAUACCCCAGUAGUCCUAGCUGUAAACUAUGGAUACUAGA
rnacentral:rRNA from 1 species